GGGUGAUUUAGAGGAGGGACCCGGCCUAGCCGGUGGUUCAGGUGGCCGGUCGGGCUGGAAGGGCGGGGAUGAGGGAUGGGACGCAUCCCCGGGGGAUGCUCCUCCAAAGCUUUUAUCGGGCGAGCGCAGUGGCUCACGCCUGUAAUUCCUGCACUUUGGGAGGCUAAGGGUCUCACUCUAUUGUCUAGGCUCGAAUGCAGUGACGUGAUCAUGGAUCACUGCAGUCCUCAACUUACUGGGCUCAGGUUCAAGUGAUUCUCCUGCCUCAGCCUCCUGGGUAGCUGGGAUUACAGGCGCCUGCCACCAUGGCCAGCUAAUUUUUGUAUUUUUAGUAGAGAUGGGGUUUCACCAUAUUGGCUAUGCUGGUCUCGAACUCCUGACCUUGUGAUCCACCUGCCUUGGCCUCCCAAAGUGCUGGGAUUACAGGUAUGAGCCACCACGCCCAUCCUUCAUCCAUUUUAAGUAAAUUUUUAUAUAUGGUAUAAGGUUAGGGUCCAACUCCAUUCUUAUGUAUGUCUAUAUCUCAGUUCCUCCCCCAUAUAAUCCUGUCCCCAGGGAAUCAACAACCCAUGCUCUUCCUAGUCACCUCCUUGAACAUGUCCCUCCCCCAGGAAACCUCCAACAUGAGAUAGAACAAUGUAGAAAGGACAUUCAAAACUUCCCUUUCCCUUGUUUGUCAAAGGAAUCCGCCCCAACGGUUGUCCCCUUAAGGGAAGUCCCACUGGGGGGAGGGGGCAUUGGUUGCAUUAAUGCCCUCUUAACCAGCUCAGAAGUCAGAAACUUCAAAAGGGAACUCAAACCAUUGUUAGAUGACCCUUAUUGGGUAGCAGAUCAAAUUGAUCAAUUUUUAGGGCCACAGUUGUAUACUUGGGCUGAACUAAUGUCCAUUUUAGAUAUUCUUUUCUCAGGGGAGGAAAGGACUGUGAUCCACAGGGCCACUGUGAUAGUCAGGGAACGUGAACAUCCUCCUGGCCAAAACGUUCUGCAGCGGACCAAAAAUUUCUGUUCCAAGACCCUCAAUGGGACAAUCACAAUGCAGCUCACCAAGAAAAUAUGAGGGAUCUCGGGGAAAUGAUAAUUAAAGGAAUUCGGGAACCAGUACCCUGAACUCAAAAUAUUUCCCGAGCAUUCAACAUACAACAAAGAAAGGAAGAAGAGCUCAUGGAAUUUUUAAACAGACUCUAAGAGCAAGUUAGAAAAUACGCAGGCUUAGAAAUAAGAAGAUCCACUUCGGCAAGGAUUGUUAAAACUCCACUUUGUCACCAACAUUUGGCCAGAAAUUACAAAAAAAUUGUCAAAAAAAUAGAGAAUUGGAAAGAUAGCUCCAUAGAAGAACUUCUAAAGGAGGCCCAAAAGGUAUAUAUGAGAAAAGACAAGGAAAGCAGAAACAAAAAGCAAAAAUUCCACUGCCCACCCUUCAACAAGGGACACAAGGAAAUAGGUCCCAUAAAUGUUCUAAGCCACUAGCUGCAAAGUCACAUACAGGAAAGAAAAGGGAUAAAACCUGGGGACCUAACGGCAAGAAGGGAAAAGGGGGAAAAUAAAUGUUUCAGAUGUGGGAAACUGGGACACUUUAAGACAGAAUGUCCCGAAUGAGAAAGAGAGAGAAAUCCUCCCACUCAUGACUUUUGAAGAAGAAUAGGGGGUUCAGAGGCUCUGUCUCUUUUAUCUCAAAUCCCACCAAUAGCCCUUGAUAAAUCUACAGGUGGGACCCAAGCUAGAAAUUUUCACUUUCCUAAUAGAUUCAGGAGUAGCUCGCUCCUCUGUUUGCUACCUUUCAUCAAAUGUAGCCUGCUCUGCAGAGGAGCUGUUCGUCACGGUGGUAAAGGGGGAAAGGUUUAGAACAAAAAUUUUGGAGGAAACAGAAGUUAAAUUCAAGAAUAGAUCAGCCGCCAUUAAAUUCAUGUUAAUCCCUGAUGCAGGGACAAAUUCGUUAGGAAGGGACUUAAUGUUUAAAUUGGGGAUAGGUCUAUAUGUUAAUCAGGGAAAAUUAUUUACUUCCUUAAACUUGCUUACCGCCCCUAAAGAAAGCCAAAUCCACCCUGAUGUGUGGUUAAAGGAGGGAAAUCAAGGAAGAUUCAAGUUCCGCCAAUUCAUAUAAAACGAAAACCUCCUGGGGAAAUAGUAAAAAGAAAACAACACCCCAUUCCCCUAGAAGGCAGAAUGGGUUUAAAACCUAUAAUCAAAGGUCUCAUCCAUGACAGACUCCUUGAACCCUGUAUGCCUCCUUAUAACACUCUAAUGUUGCCUGUAAAAAAGUCACAUGGAUCACGGCUAGUGCAAGAUAUCUGGGCUAUUAACCAAAUAGUCCAGACUACUCACCCUGUGGUCCCCAACCCUUAUACCAUUAUCAGCAAAAUCCCAUAUGACCACCAAUGGUUCAUGGUAAUAGACCUAAAAGAUGCCUUUUGGGCUUGCCCCUUAGCAGAGGACAGCCAGGACAUGUUUGCUUUCAAAUGGGAGGACCCUCACUCCAGUUGGAAGCAACAGUACUGAUGGACAGUCCUGCCCCAAGAGUUUGUGGACUCCCCAAAUCUAUUUGGUCAAAUUCUAGAACAAGUCCUAGAGAAUUUUCCCCUCCCCUCAUCCAUAUAUCCGCUCCAAUAUGUGGAUGACCUGCUAAUUUCAGGAGGCACCAAGGGCUGGGUAACAGCAGUAUCAAUUAACUUUCUAAAUUUUCUGAGGGAACGCGGAUUGCUGGUCUCAAGGAGUAAACUCGUUUGUGGAACCUGAGAUAAAAUACCUAGGAUACUUAAUAAGCAAAGGCAAACAGAGAUUAGGCCCCAAACGAACUGAAGGAAUCAUAGCCGUACCUUUGCCUGAAACAAAAUAAGGGCUUAGGAAAUUCUGGGGGUUGACUGGAUAUUGUCGCUUAUGGAUUGACUUUAUGCUUUAAAAACAAAGCCUCUAUGCCUGAAACUUACUCAAGAGAGACCUGAUCCUCUUCUUUGGACACCACGGGAGGUCCAACAAGUAGAGGAAUUAAAACACCUGCUCAUAACUGCCUUAGUUCUACCUUCCCUAGAACAGCCAUUCCACCUCUUCGUCAAUGUGAAUAAAGGGAUAGCUCUAGGGGUGCUCACCCAAACACACGGGGGCCACCGGCAGCCUAUAGCCUUUCUGUCAAAAAUUCUUGACCCACUAACCCACAGGUGGCCCGAGUGUAUUUAAUCUGUUGCAGCAACUGCCCUAUUUACAGAGGAAAGCAGGAAGAUAACCUUUGGGGGAAACCUCACUGUAAACACAACCCAUCAGGUUAGAACCAUCCUAAACCAAAAAGCAGGCAGAUGGCUUACCGAUUCAAGAAUCUUAAAAUAUGAAGCUAUCUUACUAGAAAAAGAUGAUUUAACCCUAACCACAGAAAAAACACUCAACCCUGCCGCUUUCCUAAUGGGAAAUCCAAUCCCCAGGACCCUGAACAUAAAUGUCUGGAUCUAAUCUGUUAUCAAACUAAAGUCAGGCUUGAUCUAAGCGAGACCCCAUUCAAAACGGGGCAACACCUGUUUAUAGAUGGCUCCUCCCAGGUAUUUGAAGAGAAAAGACACAAUGGGUACUCGGUAGUCAAUGGGGAAGCCCUCACAGAGGUAAAGUCAGGAAGACUGCCCAAUAACUGGUCCACCCAAACAUGUGAAUUGUUCACAUUAAAUCAAGCCAUAACUGGGAAAGGGACUAUUUACACUGACUCCAAAUAUGCCUUCGGGGUAGUCCAUACUUUUGGAAAGAUCUGGACUGAAUAAAAGGCCAGGACCUUGUCCACAAGGAGUUAAUCACUCAGGUAUUGGAAAAUCUCCAGCUACCAGAAGAGAUAGCCAUCCUGCGUGUCCCAGGACACCAGAGAAAUAUUUCUUUCAAAAGCCAAGGAAAUAAACUUGCAGACCAAAUAGCCAAACAAGCUGCCUCUUCUCCCAAAAUGCCCAUUUUUCACCUAACCCCUUGUCUUUCUUCCCCAACUGCAAUUCACAUCUUCUCUCCCACUGAAAAAGAGAAAUUAAGGAAAAUAGGAGCUAAAGAAAACUCAGAAGGGAAAUGGAUGUUACCAGACCAAAGAGAAAUGCUAUCAAAACCCCUAAUGAGGGAAGUCCUAUCUCAACUGCAUCAAGGGACUCAUUGGGGACCUCAAGCUGUGUGCGAUGCAGUUCUCAGAGUUUAUGGGUGUAUAGGAGUUUAUACCCUAGCAAAAUAAGUUACAGAUAGUUGCCUAAUAUGUAAGAAAACUAAUUUAAAAAAACCCUAAGGAAACCACCUUUUGGGGGAAAAAGCCCAGGAUUGAGACCAUUCCAAAGUGUCCAAAUUGACUACACCAAAAUGCCCCCAAUAGGCCACCUAAAGUACUUGCUAGUAAUAGUGGACCACCUUACUCACUGGGUGGAGGCUAUUCCCUUUUCAAGUGCAACUGCUAAUAAUGUGAUUAAGGCAUUAGUAGAAAAUAUUAUACCCAGGUUUGGACUGAUAGAAAACAUUGAUUCAGACAAUGGGACCCACUUCACUGCACAUGUCAUUAAGGGACUAGCCUAAGUACUAGGAAUAAAAUGGGAAUAUCAUACUCCUUGCACCCACCCUCAUAAGGAAAAGUAGAAAGGAUGAACCAGACUCUAAAAAGCCACCUAACCAAAUCAAUUUUAGAAACUCAGUUACUAUGGACUAAGUGCCUUCUCACUGCCUUAUUAAGUGUCUGAACUGCCCCUCAGAGAGAUGUUGGCCUAUCUCCCUAUGAAAUCCUAUAUGGGUUGCCUUAUCUACACUCUACUACUGACAUUCACUGAAACAAAGUUUGUUUCAUUUGAAACAAAGGAUCAGUUCCUCAAAAAUUAUAUACUCGAUCUGUCUUCCACUUUCUCUUCCCUCAGGAUGAAAGGCUUCCUAGCACAAACACCACCCCUGGAGUUCCCGGUACAUCAAUACCAGCCUGGGGAUCACGUUCUCAUCAAGAGUUGGAAGAGGGAAAGCUUGAACCAGCUUAGGAGGACCUCAUCUGGUACUCUUGAUGAAUGAAACAGCAAUCUGAAUGGCUGAAAAAGGAUGGACCCAGCACUCCAGGGAGAAAACUUGGCAUUCUUUGGGAAUCUAACAGGAUGCAGUGAACCCAAGCCUUUUGAAGAGCUCACCAAUCAGACUGCCCUUGUCUAUCCAUGAGCAGAUGUUUGAUAGUAUUGCGGAGGCCCUCUAGUGGGUAUGCUGCCAAGCAACUGGAGUGGCACUUGGGCUCUAAUCCAGUUGUCUAUCCCUUUCACCCUGGCAUUUCAUCAGCCAAACAAAAACCAACUAACUCAGAAAAAAAGGAAAGCCCCUCAAGGGUCCUUUGACCCCGAUAUCUACAUAGAUGCUAUCGGGGUCCCCUGAGGGGUACCAAACGAAUUCAAAGCUCGAAAUCAAAUAGCUGCUGGAUUCAAGUCUGUCCUUUUCUUGUGGUCUACUAUAAAUAA
rnacentral:lncRNA from 1 species